rnacentral:rRNA from 1 species
UUGGGCGUAAAGCGAGCGCAGACGGUUACUUAAGCAGGAUGUGAAAUCCCCGGGCUCAACCUGGGAACUGCGUUCUGAACUGGGUGACUAGAGUGUGUCAGAGGGAGGUAGAAUUCCACGUGUAGCAGUGAAAUGCGUAGAGAUGUGGAGGAAUACCGAUGGCGAAGGCAGCCUCCUGGGAUAACACUGACGUUCAUGCUCGAAAGCGUGGGUAGCAAACAGGAUUAGAUACCCUGGUAGUCCACGCCCUAAACGAUGUCAAUUAGCUGUUGGGCAACUUGAUUGCUUAGUAGCGUAGCUAACGCGUGAAAUUGACCGCCUGGGGAGUACGGUCGCAAGAUUAAAACUCAAAGGAAUUGACGGGGACCCGCACAAGCGGUGGAUGAUGUGGAUUAAUUCGAUGCAACGCGAAGAACCUUACCUGGUCUUGACAUGUACGGAAUCCUCCAGAGACGGAGGAGUGCCUUCGGGAACCGUAACACAGGUGCUGCAUGGCUGUCGUCAGCUCGUGUCGUGAG